GAGACUCGCCGCCCCGGCCCGGAACUCCGGGCUGAAGAAAGAGGCACAGGAGCUGAGCCAGAAGCUCCCGCCCGCCGCGCACUUACCGCGCGUCGCCGCUGGGUCCCGCGCAGCCGCGCGCUCCUGCCCGCGCCGGCCCAGUCGGAGGAGUCACGCGCCGCGCCGGGGGCGACACUGCAGGAGCGAGGAGCGCGCCCGCUGGACUUUUGCUCCCUCGCUGCCCCUGGAGGCGCGGGGCGGGGCGGGGCGGGGGCGGCGCUAUGACGGGCGGUGGCGAGGUCCUUGGAGACGCCCAGGGCGCCCUUCAGAGGUCACCUCCUAAUUUUGUGACUUCGCCUACGGCCCGGCUCCAGGAGAACAGGGACUUUGGUCUGCUUUGUUCAUUAUACCCAACUCUGAGCUUAGAACUUAUGUCAUAGUAGGUUUUCAGUAAAUAACUGUUGAUGGAAAGGUGAAUCCUCUUUGUAUCUCCAAGGAGAUCGUGGAGUCUCCUGCAUCUUUUCAAUGCCUGGUACAAAAAGAGCCUCCCCACACAUGACUGGAUCUUGGACUUCUCAGCCUCCAGAAAUGAUUGCAGGUUAGGACUUCAGAGCAAGUGUCAGCUGGAUGGUCUUUCAGUUCCACGCAGUAUUAACUGAAGUCACACAGAAAUGUAUCUGGCGAAGGUGGAUGACCUAGUCUAGAGGGUCUCAAGUGGCUUCACCAAAGUCACAGUCCAUUCACUUAUGAAUUUGGGGAGAACACAAACACUGAGACCACAGCAACCCAGCCUGAGCCUUGCAGGGAUGAUGGGAAGUCAGGGCUCAGCUGGGGCUAUCAGAGCUGCUCCCCAGGCUGCCUCAUCACAGUGGUUUCAGGAAGGCAGACUUACAUGGAGGCCCGGGCUCCAAAAAUCUCCAGAUCCAAGGCCUGUGACAGCCCCUGAGGAUCCAGAAUGUAACUUUCACAACAUUUUAUUGUUCAGGCCAGCCCAGAGUCAAAGGAAUUAUACUCUGCCUCUCAGUGGGGGAAACAGCAAAGAAUUUCCAGACUUCAUGGAUCUACCACAGUUUUUCUAUAUAAGAAAAGACAAUGCCAAUACACCCUUGUUUAUAGCAGUACAAUUUGUAAUAGCUAAAUCUUGGAAACAACCCAAAUGCCCAUCAAUGGAUGGACAAAGAAGAUUUUUUAUAUAUAUACAAUGAAGUACUACUCUAUCAUAAAGCAAGAUAAACUUGAGACAUUUCUAGGUAAAUGGAUGCACCUUGAGACCAUACUCUUAAAUGAAAUGAAUCAAACACUCAUGUUUAAGUAUCGCAUUGUUUCUCUGGUGUGAGAAACCAAAAGGGUAAAUAAAGACCAAAAUGUAUAACAGAUAUUGGAAAAUAGGAAGAAAAUGUUCAAAUGGGAAGGAGAACAAUGGAGAGGGGAGGGGAAAGGGAAGGAAAAGAGAAGAAAAGAGAA
rnacentral:lncRNA from 1 species